GCACUGGUGGUCCAGUGGUAGAAUCCUUGCCUUCCAUGAGGGAAACCUGGGUUCAAGUCCUGGCAAGUGCA
rnacentral:tRNA from 1 species